AUGAUUAUAUUAUUGUUGGUUUAUCAACUAGCUAGGUAUUGGCAGUUCGAUGAUAUUAUUUGGUCAGCCCACUGUACGUGCUUAUGUACCCAUUCCAGAUCGACCAAAACGCCAACACUCCUGCCCAGCUCCUGCCCAGCUCCUGACCAAAUCGCUUAACACCCGCCACUCGAACUUCGAACAGCAUUCGGCGCUGUCUUUACGGCUAUUUAAGUGCCGCGGUCCCAGCCGGAAUGCCGGAAUGGAAUGCCAGUCCUGUUCAGCUCAGUUCAGUUCAGUUUGGUUCGGGUCCGUUCAGCCCGAGUGGUCGUGAUCCAAGGAUUCCCGACUCCGAUUCCGAUUCCUGCCGGUUGCCACGUAUUUAUUGGAAACAGACACGCGACCGCUGCAUAUUUUAUAAGCGCUAAUGUCAGACGCGUUGGAAGUUCCCGCAAGGCCCCCGGUGCCACCAAGAAGCCGCCAAAGAGCCCCAGGAACUGGCAGGACACCCGAAGCUU
ensembl:ncRNA lncRNA:CR45508 long non-coding RNA:CR45508